rnacentral:rRNA from 1 species
CUCAGAACGAACGCUGGCGGCAUGCCUAACACAUGCAAGUCGAACGAGACCUUCGGGUCUAGUGGCGCACGGGUGCGUAACGCGUGGGAAUCUGCCCUUGGGUUCGGAAUAACAGCGAGAAAUUGCUGCUAAUACCGGAUGAUGACGUAAGUCCAAAGAUUUAUCGCCCAAGGAUGAGCCCGCGUAGGAUUAGCUAGUUGGUGAGGUAAAGGCUCACCAAGGCGACGAUCCUUAGCUGGUCUGAGAGGAUGAUCAGCCACACUGGGACUGAGACACGGCCCAGACUCCUACGGGAGGCAGCAGUGGGGAAUAUUGGACAAUGGGCGAAAGCCUGAUCCAGCAAUGCCGCGUGAGUGAUGAAGGCCUUAGGGUUGUAAAGCUCUUUUACCCGGGAUGAUAAUGACAGUACCGGGAGAAUAAGCUCCGGCUAACUCCGUG